GAUAAACAAAGAUGUCGCUAAAGUGAUUCAAAAUCAGGAUGGCACUAGGGAAGAGCUACGCAUUGUUAAUUUAAAAAUGGAUCAAGUUGGGGAUGCUUUAAUGGAAAAAUCUAAAAUAUUUGAAGGUGAGCUGAAUAAAAUACUUGAUAGCUUUAAGCUCUCAGAUGAUGCAAAGAAGCUUCCAAGUGAAACAGAAGAUUUCAAGGACUCGUCAAUAAGUUCAGUGAAUCAGGUAAUGCUUGAUCGCCUUGAUCACUUAGAGAAAGCUGUGUCAUUGUUAUUUGAGGGUCAG